CAGUAGCCGCAGUAAUACGUAGGUGGCAAGCGUUGUCCGGAAUUAUUGGGCGUAAAGGGCUCGCAGGCGGUUUCUUAAGUCUGAUGUGAAAGCCCCCGGCUCAACCGGGGAGGGUCAUUGGAAACUGGGAGACUUGAGUGCAGAAGAGGAGAGUGGAAUUCCACGUGUAGCGGUGAAAUGCGUAGAGAUGUGGAGGAACACCAGUGGCGAAGGCGACUCUCUGGUCUGUAACUGACGCUGAGGAGCGAAAGCGUGGGGAGCGAACAGGAUUAGAUACCCCCGUAGUCCCUGUCUCUUAUAC
rnacentral:rRNA from 1 species